GUCCACACCGUAACGAUGAUUACUAGGUGUUGGAGAUUGACCCUCUCAGUGCCGCAGUUAACACAAUAAGUAAUCCACCUGGGAGUACGACCGCAAGGUUGAACUCAAAGGAAUUGACGGGGCCCGCACAAGCAGUGGAGUAUGUGGUUUAAUUCGACGCAACGCGAAGAACCUUACCAAGUCUUGACAUCCCUUGACGAUGCUGGAAACAAUAUUUCUCUUCGGAGCAAGGAGACAGGUGGUGCAUGGUUGUCGU
rnacentral:rRNA from 1 species